rnacentral:lncRNA from 1 species
GUAAGCCAGCUAAUGUAUACUCAGGUCAGGACAAUUUCUUUGUUGUUUAGUGACUGUGCCUUAGGGUUCUUUAGGCACUUUGUCUCUAUUAACAUGUGGGCCAAGUCAAACUAGUUUGCAUCAUUUCCAGGGGCACUAUAUUUCUGAAUUUUAUGCUGAUUUUAAAAAAUAUUAAUUCUGUUCAUUUGAAGCACACACAACAGUGUAAUGCAUUAUCACCUUCGAAGAUUCAGUGGGUCCCUGAAACUCAAACUUGGAUCAAUGACUCCAGCUGGUCCUGAUCUACCAACGACUCACUGGGGUUACUUGGCUGCUUGGACAGCUUGGAUGAGAUGGGAGGCAUCAGCUCCGUUCCUUCUGGUGAAAUGGAAGAUCACUAAACCUUACUUCUGUAGAUCCUGCCUCUGCCUUCUAAGACUGGAUGUUUGACUGAAUUGACUGGAUCGACCUGCUGUUUUGGCAUCAUGUGAACACAGCCAGUAAGUGCUGAUGCAGCUACAGAAUUGUAGAAAUUAAUCCUGAAAAUGGUGGUGAAGGAAAUCCAAGCCCGAGUCAGAAACCAUGCUCAGUCGGGGAAGGCUGAUCAAUUUCCCGCUCCCUAAUUAAAACAAGCCACCAAACACCACAGUAGCACAAAAUCUAGUGCAUUCUUUAGUGAUGGAUGUGACCGGCUUGCAAAUUUCUUCUUGCUGGAGGAUGGUGAUUUCUUGUGCAACAGCAGGUAAACAGAAAGCCUGCUGGCAAUUCAUGUUCUAUAAUGUGUAUAGAUCCACACCCUCAACCCCUAGACACAGAAAUCCCGUUUGAACUGAAUUCAUAAGAAUAUUUUUACCAAGGAGUCAGGUUGGGUGUAAUGGAUAUGGAGUACUUGAUUUAACAUCAGAUACCCUGAGUUGAAAUGCUACCCAUGUAAAAAAAACCCACUUAAAAAGUGAUUUCUCCAG